rnacentral:lncRNA from 1 species
AAACCCUGUCCAUAAUCUCCAAGUGUUUACAAUGAGAAGUUGUCAAUGCUUCCAAAUUCAGGGAGGGGCCUGGACAUUGUGCUUAAUCUUCUAAGGUGCUAAAACCUGUCUAUUAAUUUACCACCUUAUUGUUAAUUCUCUAGCAUAAGAGAGCUUCCAAGAUUCACCCCAGUUCCAACUCCAGCCAUUGUGUAGGGAGUGAUAUCUUUAUGAUAAAAUCUGACCUCAUGUUGUCUACCCUCAGGAAUGAGACAUGUAUAACCAUCUGGAAUUUCUUGGCUUUGACCUGACAAGUUUCCUUGUCUUCAGGAUGGUUGUUGUAUUUACGCCUACCAUCAUGUCUUCCUAGUCCCAUUCGACAAUUGGGAAGUGGAACAUUUAACAUCUUGCUCACCUUCUAUGUGACCCCUUCAUACCACACCUCCGUUGGGAGAAAAAACAAACAGCACAGAGCUGAGAACUAUCAAGGAUUGAGGACCAGGUAAUCCUUUCAGAACUGCUCUAACCUGAUACUCCCUAAGAUGGGAUUUUGUUAAUUUUGAGAAAACUAAAAUCUCCCUUUCUUUUCUUCAUUUUCCCUAUUCCUUUUGCCUAUUCUAACCACUUAAUAAUUGUAAAUAUUUUACAGUCAUCCCUCACUAUCUGCAGGGGACUGGUUCUAGAACCACCCCCCAAAUACCAAAAUCCACAGAUACUCAAGC